AUGGACAAAUCUUCUUCAGAUUUUGAGUUUUUUAGGGGUGAUUACAAAGGGCAGAAAAUAUCAUACAAGGCUUGGUGUAGGGGUGAAGAUGAGGCUGGCACAGGGACAAGUCAUAAGCCUAGGGAAGAGGAAGAUACUGCAGAGCACUAUUGUGGAGCAAACUCAGAACCAUCAGAGUUUUGGGAGGAAGACCAAAUCCUUUCUGAACAUGAAGAACCCUCAGUUGUACCAGAGAAAGGAGCAAAGAAGCUUAAGCCUGUCAGAAAACCAGGCCCAACUAUCAACUCACACAGUGAGCCUGAAAACAUCAAGUUUGAAGAUUUUGUGCCUGAACCUGAUGAAUACUGCUUUCCAGGUGAUUUUGGCCUUAGUGAUGAAGAAGAAGUUCCAAGGUUGCCUUCUGGUAGGAAGAGAAGGUUGAAGAAGAGGAAGGAGAGGAGGUGGUAUGAUCCAUCAGUCCCUGAUGCACAUGAGCAGUUUGCAUUGCAUUUGUGCUUCCUAAAUGUUGUGGAGUUCAGAGAAGCACUAAAAAAAUUCCAUGUCAGGACACUUAGGAAUUUUGAGUAUCACAGAAAUGAACCAACUAGGGUUAUUGCUUGGUGCUCUGAUAGAAAGCAAGGUUGUCAGUUUUACAUAGUGGCCUCUAGAAUAGCUAAUGAGUCAACUUUCAGCAUCAAGAAGAUGAAUUUGGAUCACACUUGUGGAGCAAGUGGAGAGAGCACCAAGGUUACAGUCAAUUGGGUUGCCAAGGUUUGUGAGGAUACCAUUAGAUCAAACCCUGGAGCUGGUGUUGAGACAAUUCUGUCAUACACAAAGAAAACAUUUGGUGUUCAUGUGCCUAAAAGCUUGGCAUAUAGGGCAAGGAAGCAAGCACUUGAAGUUGUGCAAGGAGAUCACAAACUCCAAUAUCACAGACUAAGGGACUAUCUCCAGUGUGUGCUAGAUACUAAUCCAGGCAGUAGAUGCAUAGUGACAACAAAAGAGGACCUAAAAACACUUCUUCUGCUGCUAACACUUCUUCUCCUGCUAAGAACACCAGAUCAUCUACAGCUUCUCCUGCUAAGAACACCAGAUCUUCAAGUGCCCAGAGAAGAACUUUCAUUGCACUAA
rnacentral:rRNA from 1 species